UCACUCAUGGCUCAGUUGGUAGAGCAUGGGACUCUUAACCUAGGGGGUUGUGGAUUCAAGCCCCACAUUUGGUGAA